CCUCACACCAUCACUCUCGUCCCCAUCUCUCUCUCUCUCUCUCUCUCUCUCUCUCUCGAUUUUCAUCCUCCAUGAUCACCAUUGAAGAGACCUCUAAAGCUUCCUAAAAUCAUACCAAGAGCAAAAUCAUUUACUAAAUCAAGACCUAAACACUUUCUACUCCCUAAAUUCAAGAGAUCCUUAGAGUUAGUCUUGAAGCUAGAGAGAGAAACCUUGUUCUUUGUUUGAUCUUGGGCCCGAGCGAGACGAAGAAGUAAGUCGCCUGUUUUCUUUCUGAGCUUAAUCGAAGGACUUCAGGUUAAGCGAUGGAGCGAGAUUGGUCUAGUGCUGGCGGGGGAUUGUUUUGACUGAUGUAUCUCCCUUACUGUUAUUCGAUUGUUGAUAGAGUCCUAACGAUGAUACACUUUGCUUUCCUUUUGAGUGUUGAUAAAACCUUAAUGAUGAGAUACUUUGUUUUCUUUUAAUCAAGUAAUAUACUCACGGUUA